GAGUUUGAUCGUGGCUCAGAUUGAACGCUGGCGGCAGGCCUAACACAUGCAAGUCGAGCGGAUGACGGGAGCUUGCUCCUUGAUUCAGCGGCGGACGGGUGAGUAAUGCCUAGGAAUCUGCCUGGUAGUGGGGGACAACGUUUCGAAAGGAACGCUAAUACCGCAUACGUCCUACGGGAGAAAGCAGGGGACCUUCGGGCCUUGCGCUAUCAGAUGAGCCUAGGUCGGAUUAGCUAGUUGGUGAGGUAAAGGCUCACCAAGGCGACGAUCCGUAGCAGGUCUGAGAGGAUGAUCUGCCACACUGGAACUGAGACACGGUCCAGACUCCUACGGGAGGCAG
rnacentral:rRNA from 1 species